UAAGGAAUUUUGGACAAUGGACGCAAGUCUGAUCCAGCCAUGCCGCGUGCGGGAAGAAGGCCUUCGGGUUGUAAACCGCUUUUGUCAGGGAAGAAACGAGUUUCUCUAAUACAGAGACUUAAUGACGGUACCUGAAGAAUAAGCACCGGCUAACUACGUGCCAGCAGCCGCGGUAAUACGUAGGGUGCAAGCGUUAAUCGGAAUUACUGGGCGUAAAGCGUGCGCAGGCGGUUAUGUAAGACAGAUGUGAAAUCCCCGGGCUCAACCUGGGACCUGCAUUUGUGACUGCAUAGCUAGAGUACGGCAGAGGGGGAUGGAAUUCCGCGUGUAGCAGUGAAAUGCGUAGAUAUGCGGAGGAACACCGAUGGCGAAGGCAAUCCCCUGGGCCUGUACUGACGCUCAUGCACGAAAGCGUGGGGAGCAAACA
rnacentral:rRNA from 1 species